UACGGGGGGGGCAAGCGUUGUUCGGAAUUACUGGGCGUAAAGGGCGCGUAGGCGGCCUUCUAAGUCGAACGUGAAAUCCCCGGGCUCAACCCGGGAACUGCGUCCGAUACUGGAAGGCUUGAAUCCGGGAGAGGGAUGUGGAAUUCCAGGUGUAGCGGUGAAAUGCGUAGAUAUCUGGAGGAACACCGGUGGCGAAGGCGACAUCCUGGACCGGUAUUGACGCUGAGGCGCGAAAGCCAGGGGAGCAAAUGGG
rnacentral:rRNA from 1 species